ACGCCUACGGGGGGCAGCAGUGGGGAAUAUUGGGCAAUGGGCGCAAGCCUGACCCAGCAACGCCGCGUGAAGGAAGAAGGCUUUCGGGUUGUAAACUUCUUUUGACAGGGAAGAGCAGAAGACGGUACCUGUCGAAUAAGCCACGGCUAACUACGUGCCAGCAGCCGCGGUAAUACGUAGGUGGCAAGCGUUGUCCGGAUUUACUGGGUGUAAAGGGCGUGUAGCCGGGCUGACAAGUCAGAUGUGAAAUCCGGGGGCCCAACCCCGGAACUGCUCUGGAAACUGUGCGGCUAGAGUACUGGAGG
rnacentral:rRNA from 1 species